AGUGCACUUGCUCUUGUGUAUUGAGAAAUCGUAGUAGACUAUACGGAGAUUCCUACUCCACCUUUCGAUUAAAUAUCUAUCUAGUAAUUCGAAUGAAAAACUGUUUUGCAUUAUUUUCCAGAAACAUGGUGUUGACAAAAUGUUAUAUUUUAUGAGGAGAAACCCCAGGAUGGCUUACUUACUUGCCUGACAUUUGAGAAGGUUCGACAGAACAAGAACCAAAGGACAAGGACUAACUUGAUUAUUCUUCAACGACUUCUCAGGAAAUUCCACUCCUAUUUUCGUCCAUGAAUUUCUAUAGAACUUCAUCAUGACUUUUAUACAUUGGAGAAUCUCCAAUGUUGCAUAUAUUUUAAUAUUUCUAUUAAUAUUAGUGUGUGAACUGUUUGUCUGUGAAUCAUGUGAAUGUUAUCCUGAAUCAAGUAGAAGACGGCGAAGAAGUGGAGCAGUUAUGAGGAUGGUUGAGAAUUUUUCGGGGUCUACAUUUAAUGUAGCUCAUCGGGAUGCUCUUUAUGAUGGGCUGGUCAAAUUAUUGGAAUGGAUCGGAUUUCUAAUCACCGAGGCACUCUUUAAUACUUUUAUACAACUAUGAUUGGAUGUUAUUCGAAUAUUUAAUUUGUCUAUUUCAAGCCUUGUAUUUGCUCUUAUAAUAAUAAUUGAAGUCAGUACU
rnacentral:lncRNA from 1 species